GCAGAAUUUAGCGGAAUGGAUCGCUGCGUUAUGCCGGCCUGACGUGAGCUUUGUGCAGAACCCGUUGGAAACCAGCGGUGGCGAGUGCAGACGAGCGCAUGCGCUGUCUUGCGCUCCCGCGUUCUAAGGUUCGAAGCGCGCGCCGGUGAUCAGUCAGGUCCGGAGCUGGAUGCGUGUGGUGUGUGUCAAGAUUGCUUCCUCUGCUUGCUGGGGCUGUGCGUUAACAGUGCUUCUCUCGGCUUGCGACGUUCGAGCGUUUGGUCGCGAAUCGUUACACCGUCUUGGUGGUCUCGCAUGCUGGUCCGCGGGCACUGCUCGAAAACGGCCGGCGACCAAAGAAGUUGCACAGGUGACAGUGACUGCGGUAACAUUACGACAUUCUGUUGCGUGAUACGAAGCAAUGGUCAACCAAUCGGAAAGUGCGAACCGAAACCUGGACUCGGGGAAAAAUGCUCGACAGCAGUAUCCUCGAACAGGAAACCCAACACGGUUAACCUUCUUCAUAGAGACGGCUGCCCCUGCCGACCACCAUACGUGUGUGCCCGCCCUUCACCGAAAUCCGGGUUAGGCACUUGCCAGAAACCAUGAAGAACGAACAUCCGGAUGAAGACUAACUAGCCUAGCCUAAAGUUCGAAGUGCACAACUUGUGGUUCAAGAAUUAAAUUCACGCUCUGCUUGUGC